rnacentral:tRNA from 1 species
AGGGUUGUAGUUAAUUAUAACGUUUAAUUUGCAUUUAAAAAGUAUUGGUCUCAAUCUACCUUG